rnacentral:snRNA from 1 species
AUCCCUUCUUGGCUUUUUGGUUAAGAUCAAAUAUUCUAUUUGUUCUUAUCAAUUUAAUAUGUGAUACACCCUCUAUAUGAGAACAAUACAAUUGAAUAGAUUUUUGUGGGUUUCCUU